UAGGGAAUCUUCCGCAAUGGACGCAAGUCUGACGGAGCAACGCCGCGUGAGUGAAGAAGGAUUUCGGUUCGUAAAACUCUGUUGUUAGAGAAGAAUAGCGCAUAGAGUAACUGUUAUGCGUGUGACGGUAUCUAACCAGAAAGCCACGGCUAACUACGUGCCAGCAGCCGCGGUAAUACGUAGGUGGCAAGCGUUGUCCGGAUUUAUUGGGCGUAAAGCGAGCGCAGGCGGUUAGAAAAGUCUGAAGUGAAAGGCAGUGGCUCAACCAUUGUAGGCUUUGGAAACUGUUUAACUUGAGUGCAGAAGGGGAGAGUGGAAUUCCAUGUGUAGCGGUGAAAUGCGUAGAUAUAUGGAGGAACACCGGUGGCGAAAGCGACUCUCUGGUCUGUAACUGACGCUGAGGCUCGAAAGCGUGGGUAGCAAACAGG
rnacentral:rRNA from 1 species